rnacentral:rRNA from 1 species
CCUACGGGAGGCAGCAGUGAGGAAUAUUGGUCAAUGGUCGGGAGCCUGAACCAGCCAAGCCGCGUGAGGGAGGACGGCACUGCGGAUUGUAAACCUCUUUUGUCAGGGAACAAAGACCGGGACGUGUCCCUGGUUGAGUGUACCUGAAGAAAAAGCAUCGGCUAACUCCGUGCCAGCAGCCGCGGUAAUACGGAGGAUGCGAGCGUUAUCCGGAUUUAUUGGGUUUAAAGGGUGCGUAGGGGGUCUGUUAAGUCAGCGGUAAAAUUUCGGGGCUCAACCCCGGCGCGCCGUUGAAACUGGCAGUCUCGAGUUGGAGAGAGGUAGGCGGAAUGCGCGGUGUAGCGGUGAAAUGCUUAGAUAUCACGCAGAACUCCGAUUGCGAAGGCAGCGUACCGGCUCCACACUGACGCUGAGGCACGAAAGCGUGGGUAUCGAACAGGAUUAGAUACCCGAGUAGUC